rnacentral:rRNA from 1 species
GUCGAGCGGUAGAGAGAAGCUUGCUUCUCUUGAGAGCGGCGGACGGGUGAGUAAUGCCUAGGAAUCUGCCUGGUAGUGGGGGAUAACGUUCGGAAACGGACGCUAAUGCCGCAUACGUCCUACGGGAGAAAGCAGGGGACCUUCGGGCCUUGCGCUAUCAGAUGAGCCUAGGUCGGAUUAGCUAGUUGGUGAGGUAAUGGCUCACCAAGGCUACGAUCCGUAACUGGUCUGAGAGGAUGAUCAGUCACACUGGAACUGAGACACGGUCCAGACUCCUACGGGAGGCAGCAGUGGGGAAUAUUGGACAAUGGGCGAAAGCCUGAUCCAGCCAUGCCGCGUGUGUGAAGAAGGUCUUCGGAUUGUAAAGCACUUUAAGUUGGGAGGAAGGGCAGUAAAUUAAUACUUUGCUGUUUUGACGUUACCGACAGAAUAAGCACCGGCUAACUCUGUGCCAGCAGCCGCGGUAAU